UACGGAGGGUGCGAGCGUUGUCCGGAAUCACUGGGCGUAAAGGGCGCGUAGGCGGUCUGCUAAGCGUGCGGUGAAAGCCUGGGGCUCAACCCCAGGUCUGCCGUGCGAACUGGUGGACUAGAGCACUGUAGAGGCAGGUGGAAUUCCGGGUGUAGCGGUGGAAUGCGUAGAGAUCCGGAAGAACACCGGUGGCGAAGGCGGUGGUCUGGGCCAUUACUGACGCUGAGGAGCGAAAGCCAGGGGAGCGAACGGG
rnacentral:rRNA from 1 species